GGGGAAUAUUGCGCAAUGGGGGAAACCCUGACGCAGCAACGCCGCGUGAAGGAUGAAGGUUUUCGGAUCGUAAACUUCUUUGAUGAGGGACGAAGAAUGACGGUACCUCAAAAACAAGCCACGGCUAACUACGUGCCAGCAGCCGCGGUAAUACGUAGGUGGCGAGCGUUAUCCGGAAUUACUGGGUGUAAAGGGCGUGUAGGCGGGAAUGUAAGUCAGAUGUGAAACUCCGAGGCUUAACUUCGGAACUGCAUCUGAAACUAUGUUUCUUGAGUGCUGGAGAGGAAAGCGGAAUUCCUAGUGUAGCGGUGAAAUGCGUAGAUAUUAGGAGGAACACCAGUGGCGAAGGCGGCUUUCUGGACAGUAACUGACGCUGAGGCGCGAAAGCGUGGGGAGCAAAC
rnacentral:rRNA from 1 species